rnacentral:sRNA from 1 species
AGCUGACGUGCGCACCCCUCCCAGUCCGCGCGUCGGCUGUUCCCCUCUGGAGGUUAUUGACCCCCACACCUUAAGGGCCGCGAUUUUCCGCUGGCCCUUUUUC